rnacentral:lncRNA from 1 species
AAAAUCAGAAUAUUAUAAUAAAUAUAAAAAUUAUAUUUAGAAAUUUAUAGUUUUAAAUUUUUAAAAAUUAUUGAAAAUAUUUUUAUUUUAAAAUUGUAUAAUAUUAAUUAAAAUAUAAUAUAUAUUUUAGUAUUUUAUUAUUAUUAUUUUUUUUGACAAAAAAAUUUAAAAUUUUAUUGAAUAUUUUAUUUUUGUAUUUAUAUUGUUUAAAAAAAGAAAAAAAAUUAUCCUCCCG